rnacentral:rRNA from 1 species
UACGAGAGGUCCAAACGUUAUUCGGAAUCACUGGGCUUACAGAGUUCGUAGGCGGUACGGAAAGUGGGGUGUGAAAGCCCUCGGCUCAACCGAGGAACUGCGCUCCAAACUACCGUGCUAGAGGAAGAUAGAGGUGAGCAGAACUGAUGGUGGAGCGGUGAAAUGCGUUGAUAUCAUCAGGAAUACCGGAGGCGAAGGCGGCUCACUGGGCCAGUUCUGACGCUGAGGAGCGAAAGCGUGGGGAGCGAACAGG